CAUUGCUAUCAACUAGAACAGUAGCUUUCAGAUUGCAAUAAGGAUAACUGCCACUUCAGAAAGAUCCUUGAGGGAAAUAGAAUUACUUAUGACGCAGCUUAUAGGGAAACAUCUUCUGGAAUGGAAGUUACCUCACUGAGUGGGACCUGGAGGAAGCCAGCAGCUGCAUGAGUUGCUGAAAACCUGUUUCAAUACAGUCUGCCAAAAGAAUGGAUGCUAACAACUGUACUAUUCUAUGGCAAAAUAUCCUCAUUUCUACCAUAACAUCCAUGUUCUGUCUUCUUGGGCUAAUAGUGCUCUAUGGAAAACUCUGCAAGAAAAUUGAAAUAUAUGCCUGUAAACAUGAUGGAGGAAAGCAGCCUAGGCUCAGACCCAGAAAAAAUGACAAUACUGCACCCAGAGAGGAAUUUUCUGCUGAGACAAAUCUAAUGUCUGAACACAGUGUUGUCUCUAAGUGGCUAAACAUGCAGCCCAAUGUCCAACAGCUGCAGAAGCAAAAUGUUCAAGCCAACAGCCACAUCACAGGUAGCAGCUCAGGAAGCUCACCGCACUCUCUCACCAGACAGCAUUCUGAUUCAGAUGAUGAAAUAAAUUACACGACGAUUGUAUUUGGAGAUUCCAGGCAUGACCCCAGCACUGUUGAGGACUAUGAAGAUCAAAAUGUGAAUGUGCAUUAUGAGAAUGUAUCACCCUAG
rnacentral:lncRNA from 1 species